ACCCUCCGCCGCUCCCAUCUCCGGGCGGGCCCCGCAGCAGAGCAAGGGGACCGGCGGGGGGGUGAUGACUAGCUGUCCUGCCGCCCGCCGGGCUGGGCUGCCGGGAGCAGCGGAAGAGCCACGUGCUCUGGGAAUGAGGGAGAAGCGGAGCCCGCGGGCCUGUCCCCGCCCACAGCCCCUUCUGCUCGGUGUCUCUGCCCCGCCACCCUCUCAGCGCCUGCACGACCACCAUACCGGAAGUGGGGGUCAGUUCUCUGUGAGCACUUACUUAUUCCUGGGAUUCGCUUGUAAAAUCGCAAACCCAGCAUUUAGUUUCCUCCUCCUCCAUCAAACAGAACUUUAAGAAAUCCAUAUAGCUUUGAAAAGGAGCUUUAUCAGAGACAGCACUUGCCGGGCUUGAUGGUGCAAGCUUUUGUUUCCAGCUGCUCAGAAGGCUGAGGCAGGAGGAUCCCCAGUGGAGGACUGGCCUGGCAAGUUUUCUGAGACCCCACCUCGGAAUUUGAAGGGGGGGGACUGAGUGUAGCUCUGCGGGAGUGUGAGGCCCUGUGUUCAGUUCCCCAGUGCAGGGGGAGCACUGCUCUCACAGCUAAACUAGUAGGACUAGCGAACAAAUCAGACAGUGCCGCGGGCACCGCUGUGCUGUGUUUCCUUCGGCAAAGUUACAGUGGAGUGGAGUGGGCGUUCCGCACGCUGACGGGCCCCUGAUGAGGGCAGCGCUGCAUCUCCCUUCCGCAAACCGGCCGCACGGUCUCCUGGCGGCUCCGCUGUGUGACUGGCGGCGACUGCUCUUUAGUGCCCUCCUCUGUGGGGCUUCACAGGCUCCCGGCCGCAGAGCUUCCUCUCCUCCUUCACGGCUGAGCACACAGACGGUUCCUCAACGCCUGUUUGAAUCUACACUGUUUAUCCGACAGACCUGUUCAAGCUGAUUCCUGGAAGGAAGUCAGGUUUUAAAAAAACAUCUCAGGACAUAGUGUCCAGGUUGAAAUCAAGGACCACGUUUCCCACGCAUAUUUUGCAGGCAAGUUUCCUUGAGUUUUUCUCAGAAGAUGCUAAAUUGGUGCUUGAAUAUGGAGGGGAAAUGCCAAGGGCAGACUCCCUGCCCGGAGGAUGACUGCUCUGUUCCUUUCUGCUCAGGCCUGACGGCGGGAAGGAUGUGAAGUGGCUUCCUGAUGUGCCCCAGCUCAGCCAGAAGGAGGCGGCGAAGGGGAGGUCGGAGCACAGGGACCAGAGGGGCUCCCGAGGUCUGCCGCUUGAGCAGGCGCCACCUUGUUGAGGGCCUGACUGCGAAGGCAGGUGUUGGGGCUGGCUCUCCUCUCCCGACCUUUCCCGGGGGACUUUCCCGAGGGGUUGGAUAAAGCCAUUCAAGAGCAGGGUAGCAAGCGUGUGACUUACACCCUUGAGAGCUGAGCUCCCAUCUCCCGGGGUUCACGCCACAGAGCACCAUUUGCUGUGUGACCUUGGACAAGAAACUGAAUUUCCCAGAGCUUCAGUUUGCCCCUGUGUCAAAUAGUUAUAAUAACGCCACCUAUUUCGGGGUUGCUGUGUGGGUCAGCCAACAUUAUGAAAACAUGUUAGAAGCUCAGGCAUCACCUGACACCUGUCAUCCUCCACGAAAUGUCAGUGAUUCUUGUGUCUAAACCUGUUGCUGUUGCUGUAUUAAAACUCUACAUUUUUAUUGGGAACUGAGUGACUAAAAAGGAAUAAAAUUGCCUGUCAGUCUGCUGGAAAAUAAUUUGGAGGCAGGAAGGGACCUAGGGGCAGGGCUGGCCGCUCGUCCUUUGGGCUGUAGCUUUGUCCCUGGUGCGGGGAAAGGACGUGGAUGGAGACCAGCGAGGUCUGCUCGUGCAUGGGGAUCCCCCUGGCUGAACGGGCUGGUGGCCUGUGCAGGGAUGCCGGGAUUGGUGC
rnacentral:lncRNA from 1 species